GUCCGCCAAUGACUUCGAAAGCGCCGCGAGUAUGGACUUGGGGGUUGCAAAUAAAUUUGAGAGAGUAGGAGACUUUGCAAACAUGGAAUCCAUGAAUCAUGAGGCCCGACUUAUAUUCACGGCUGGUUGUUGGGCAUCAAGACAAUCUAGAAGGAUCCAAGAAACCGGAACUUCUCCCUGGAGAGACACAAAUGGCAGGCAGUUUCCUCACAGAAAUGCCGAGACCGCUGUUCUGGAGUCAGAAGACCAGAGUUCAAAUCCUAAACUCCCAUUGGCAAAUUAGCAGAUUGGUGCUCAGGGGCAGAAACUGCCAGAAGUGGACACGAUAAGGAAGAGAGAAACACUGUAUGAACCGUCCGCUGGGAAACCUCCGCAGUCUGGGGCCCUCUGGUGCAGGGACUAACAACCGUAUUUACCCCACUACCCACUACAUCCGGGUUCAUUCACCUUCAUCCCUAAUGAAGAUGGGGAGACACCAUGGAAAGCCUCACCUUGCGUUUAAAAAAAUUUUUUUUAAAUGUUUGUUUAUUUUUGAGAGAGAGAGAGAGAGAGACAGAGUAGAGUGUGAGCGGGGCAGGGGCAGAGAGAGAGGGAGACACAGAAUCCGAAGCAGGCUCCAGGCUCUGAGCUGUCAGCACAGAGCCCGACGCGGGGCUUGAAUCCACAAACUAAGCCUCACCUUGUGUUUUAGCACGUCAUGCACUAGGCAGAGAAAUAAACCGGAGAAUGUAAUUGCUCACGUGACUUGCUCAUUGUUGAGGGAAGAUUUCUGGGCCAGGUGCGCCCCUGCAAGACAGGCCUUCGGCCCCCCAUGGGUCAGUGAAACUCAGGAGGUACCUGAGAGGGACUCUGACUCAGUCCAAGUCCUCCCAUGUGGUUACUGGUAAUGAAGGAGGUGCCCUGCUCUCUGGGGUCUAGCCCUCAAGCAGUUCAAGACCCCAAGAAGAAAAGACAAGUAAUUAUUUAGUGGCCAUCUAAAGCUUAACAAUAUCUGUGGGUAUCAUUAAAGAAGAAAGGGUGUA